GAUGAACGCUAGCGGCAGGCCUAAUACAUGCAAGUCGUACGGCAACACAGUUGCGAGCAAUCGCAACCGGUGGCGAGUGGCGCACGGGUGAGUAACGCGUAUGUAACCUACCCUUCUCCGGGACAUAACUCCGCGAAAGCGGUGCUAAUAUCCCAUACCAACUCAUCAAGACAUCUUCUUGAGUUGAAAGCAGCAAUGCGGUGAAGGAUGGGCAUGCGUCCCAUUAGCUGGUUGGUGAGGUAAUGGCCCACCAAGGCUACGAUGGGUAGGGGUUCUGAGAGGAAAGCCCCCCACACUGGUACUGAGACACGGACCAGACUCCUACGGGAGGCAGCAGUAAGGAAUAUUGGGCAAUGGUCGAAAGACUGACCCAGCCAUGCCGCGUGCAGGAUGAAGGCCCUAUGGGUUGUAAACUGCUUUUAGCCGGGAAUAAACACCCGUUUUAUAACGGGCCCGAAGGUACCGGCUGAAUAAGCAGUCGACUAACUCGUCCCAGC
rnacentral:rRNA from 1 species